rnacentral:lncRNA from 1 species
UAAUGAAAAGCCAAAGGAAUGAGUUCCCCAGGUAGAAAAAAAGCUCCAGGUCCGUGUGUCCUGGGAGAAGGGGAGAGCCUUAGACUUCUGGUUAGGGAAUUCUGGGCACUGGCCGACCUUGAUCGGCUCACUCGAGCUCAAAGUCGGCGGUGACGGAUCCUCCCGGGCCUGUUGCCCUGGGGACUGCGCUGCACCAAGAAGCCCGACCGCGGCGUUCGUCGGUCCGCAACGGCUCGUCUUACCUGGAGCGCCAUGGCGGAACUCAGCUUCGCGACUCCCUGGCCCACCCAGCUUCCGGUGCGGCUCUGGCUGGAGGCUGCACCGAGACCCUCGAGACCCUCGGGGACAGCGGCCCAGUUCUGCACGACAGGAAGCGGGGCCGGGGAACUCGCUACACCGAGAACCGCAGAGUUGGCUCGUCUGUUCUCUUUAGCAUCCGGCGCUUUCUGAGUGCGCCCUGUACAGGUGCCAGGUUAGGAUGCAUGGAUAAAAAGGGACCAGUUUCUCCCGUUGGCUGCAGUCACGUAAACCCGACCCUGAGUGGCUGAGGGCCAGGGCACAGUGGCUCACCGCUACACUGAUCUGCAUCACUACAUUUUAUGUGACUAUUUGCUUGCUCGUGUUGCCCACUGAUGGUGGCGGCCCCAGUAGUUCCUGACAAACGCUAGGCUUAAAUAUAUGUAUGAUGUGUGGACUAAGUGUGUGCCCCAUCUCUGGAUUCAUUUGUGCUGCUGUCUCUGUGGUGCAGACAUAGUCCUUAGGCUGCACUUUGAGGCUCAUUUUCCUUCCUGGAGCCCUCGUCUUUCCCUUCAUUGUAUGGGAAAAACUCAAAGAGAAGUUUUUGGAGCUUUGAAACAGGUGCUUGGAGCCACAGCAGAAGCCACCAUACCCAGGACUUGUUCUCGGCUCUCCACUCCUAAAAAUGUCUGCAGGGGCGUCCCCUUAUCUGCGAUCCGAGGAAGGACGAUUUCUCCCUAGCCACCCCAGCAUAGCUCUUUAGUGACUCUGGCCUACGUGGGCUCCACUGGCAUACUGGCUUUGUAUGCUGGCAUGCCAGAACACAUGAUCGAGCAGAGACCACUAACAUUACUGCCCAGCACAGCUGAGUGAAUUUCUUCCUUCACACUCUAAGGACAGGACCGCAGCAUGGAAAAAGAAAACUGAAAGUUCAGUCCAUCUCCAGUAGCAUCUCAGGUGUAUCCUGUGGCUGAUGGGAGAGAACCAGAGAACUUCAGUGGCCCUAUGGAACUCCAUGCAGAAGACAGCAUCCCUCCACCUCUCUGGCUGGGCAAGCAGAGAAGAAGCUUCUGGGUCACCUCCUGAGAAGUGGCUAGGAUUCCAAAGCAGAGGCCGGUCCAGAAUGAGCCAGCAGAGGACUCACUGUGAAGUCCAUCCAGGUCACUCUACUAUGACUCCGUUUCCUAGGAAGUGACUCCGAGACUCACUCAAUGAAGGAAAUCCAGUCUGAAGAAGCCUGAAGGAUUGAUGUGGUUUGAAUAACGCCUCCCCCAUAGGCUUAUAUUUGGAAGUUUAGUCACCAGGCACUAUUUGAGAAGGAUUGGGAGCUGUGGCCUGAUAAAGUGGUUUUGGCUUUGUUGGAGAAAGCAUGCCAUUGGGGUAGGAUUUGGGGUAUAAAAAAGUCCAUAUCAGGCCCAAUCUCCCCCGCCCCCAUCUGUUUGCCUGAGGAUCAAGAUGUAGCUCUCAGCUACUGCUCUAGCACCAUGUGUACUGCCAUAGUAACUACCAUGAUGGUAAUGGACUAAGCCUCUAAAACUAUAAGCAAGCCCCCCAUUAAAUGCUUGUUUUUCUAGUGACCCAGGUUCCUGCUCCUUUGUUCUGGUUGCCCACAAACCAUACUGCACAGCCAAGGCCCUGUGGAUCCCUCCACCUUCACCAGAUCUGAAUUGGAAAGGAAAAGAUGGGCAAAAUGAAACACAAAACGUGACCCAGGUUCCUGCUCCUUUGUUCUGGUUGCCCACAAACCAUACUGCACAGCCAAGGCACCGUGGAUCCCUCCACCUUCACCAGUGACCCAGGUUCCUGCUCCUUUGCUCUGGUUGCCCACAAACCAUACUGCACAGCCAAGGCACCGUGGAUCCCUCCACCUUCACCAGAUGCUCACAGACCUACUUUCCAGAAGUUGCCAGACCUGACUGGUGAGAUGCCUUCCUCAGCUCUGCAGCUUUCCAGGCCCAUCCUUGAAUAGCAUCAUCACCCAAGAAAAGGAGCAGAACAGCUGCAGACCCUGAGCCCACUUCACACUGCUGUCAUCAGUUAGCUCCUGAGCUGGCCAACUAUCUACCACCUGAGCCCCGAGACACCCCUCUCUUCCUUCCCUGAAGACAAAUUGGCUGUCUCUCAGAGUUCUCACAGGGGCUAUCAGCACUGUCAGCAGCAUCACUGCAGAAUCCCUCUCUGCCUGGGACAGCAGCUCAGCCAGUCUUUAGCCUCUGAGGGUGAAACAAGUGAGCAGUGGGCUCUGGAAGGGGGAGAGAAGCUUACAGGGAAAAAGAUGUCCACCCUACAUAGACAACCAGAUUCUAUGAUUUGUCUCCUUAAUUCUGAGCACUCUUUCACCAGAUAGGCAUUCCUUUCUUGCUGGACACUAGCAGUGAAGACACUCUGGCCAAUUCAAGUGUGGUGGGCAUGGCUCUGGCAGUCCUUACCCUUCUCCCUGAUUCCCUCUGCCUUUCUAAAAACCAUUAGAUUAAAUUUCUAAAGCUAGCCACCAAGGUCUAUUUCCUCCUCUUGAGGUCAACCACCAAGGUCCAGCUAUCAAAGUAUUGAAGUCCAGCAAACAAAAGCCCCAUUUGGCUCACCUAAGUAACAUGCAAAUUAAAAUUAUAUAGCUCAUCCUAAAAUGCGGUUUCCCAUUUUACCCUAUUUUAUUUGUUUGUUUGUUUGCUUGCUUGCUUGCUUAUACUUAUCUAAUGAAUGAGUGAUCUGCUGUAUAUACAUCCACAGGCCAGAAGAGGGCAUCAGGUCCCCUUAUAGAUGGUUUUAAGCCACCAUGUCAGUGCUGGGAAUUGAACUCAGGACCUCUGGAAGAGCAGCCAGUGCUCUUAACUGCUGAGCAAUCUCACCAGCCCCCCAUCCUGGCUUUGUAAACCAUCAUUUACCCAUGAGCCUUGUCCGUCUCCCCUCUAUCCAGAGACAGUUUUUGGUUCCUCCUGGACAAAUCUUCUUACUCCCCUUUCCCUUACUCCUUCCCCUUCUCCUUUGUCCUCCAUCUCCUGACUUAUCCCCUGCCCUCUGUCCCUCUGGGGCAAAUAGAUCUUCUCUGUGCUGAGAACUUGGUCUUAGCAUGUAUUGAGUUGAUUUCAAAGUCCCUCUAUAACUGCUGCGCAUGGAAAAAAAUCCCAGAAGAAUUCUCUAUCAUAGUCCUUGUCUUUUCUUUAAGACCCUAACAGAACCAGAGAAAACAGGAAUAUCCAGAAAGAUGGAAGACAGAUAAGAAUGGGAGGAACAUUGAGUGUAUAAGAAAAGAUGGGAGGCAGCUAUCCAUCCGCAUGAUGGGCAGGCCUGCAGAAGGUCUUAAAUGUCUCACCUCUUAAGAUCCAUAUUAAAAGUGGGUUUUCUCACCUCAAAUGAUUUAUUUCAGAAAAACUCUUGAGGCUAGAGCAAUGGCUCAGGGGUUAAGAGCAUUGACUGUUCUUCCAGAGGACCUGAGUUCAAUUCCCAGUACCUACAUGAAAAUUUACUGCUGUCUAUAACUCCAGUUUCAAGGAAUCCAGCACCCUCACAGACAGACAUGUAUGCAAAGCAUCAAUCAAUGUUCAUAAAAUAAAAAUAAAGAAAAGGAAAAACCCUCACACAUGUACCAAGCUGCUUAGUUUUUAGUUAAUUCCAGAUGUAGUGAAGCUGACAGCCAAGAAUAGUCAAUACAGUGUCCCUGUCCUGUCCUCCAUGAUCUUCCCCUCCACACACCUCACCAAACUCCAGGCUCGAACCAGUACACACUUCUUAUACGACAACCCCCUGACUUCACUCCAUCUAAGUCCACCCAUCCUACAGGCCCAACCUGGCCCACACAUCCUGGGAUCUGCCCCUAACUCCUCUGUCUACAUCAGACACAGAACUAACCAAAAAAAAAAAGUUCACAUGCCCAGAUCUCAUAAUAAAAAUAUAAAUAAUUUGAAAACUCAAGGCAGUACCCUCACAAAAAUACCCGCCAAUACUAUAGAAAUGUUCACUAAAGAGAAUUACCCAAAUGAAUCCUCAUGACACAGAACUAAAAAGAACAUUCACAAACUUUGAGACACAGCAAGAAGGCCCUCAGCAGACCCAGCCCCUCUAUCUCAGACUUCCCAGCCUCUAGAUCUGUGAGACAUACACCCCUGUUUAUUGCAAAUUCACUCUCACAAAGCCCUCCAUUACACCACCACAGAUGGGACAACGGCCCCAGCCUGACCUCGCUCCUGAAUCAAUAUUCUCAUGUCAGCUCAGCAUUUCAUCUUGAAUAAACAUUCAAGCAAGCAUUUCUCAUUUAGUAUUUCCCAAACCACAGAGAUUCUCUUCCCCAACCUUUUCUUCUUCAAGUCUUCCCCCAUCUCACCAAGUGGUCACUCUAACCUUCUAGAUGUCCAGUUAUCUAAACUAAAAUGGGGGGGUUGCAGACCUUGACCCAAUCCAUGGGUUCAUUGGUAAACUCUUGGUAUUUCACAUGCAGGCUUUCUCCAAAAACCUGCCCUGCCUGCUUUCCACAGGAGAUUAAAUAAAGAGAUGUGUGAGACACUUGUUUCACUUUAUCUGACACAAGUGCUUCUCAAUAGAAGUAUCUGUUCCUUGUCCGAACUAAAGGGAACUGCAACCCUAUAGGUGGAACAACAAUAUAAACUAAUCAGUACCCCGGAGCUCUUGUCUCUAGCUGCAUAUGUAUCAAAAGAUGGCCUAAUAGGCCAUCACUUGAAAGAGAGGCCCAUUGGACUUGCAAACUUUAUAUGCCCCAGUACAGGGGAACGCCAGGGCCAAAAAGGGGGAGUGGGUGGGUAGGGGAGUGGGGGGGUAUGGGGGACUUUUGGUAUAGCAUUGGAAAUGUAAAUGAGCUAAAUACC